rnacentral:tRNA from 1 species
GCCCGAAUGGCGGAAUUGGUAGACGCGCCGCACUCAAAAUGCGGUACUUAACGGUGUGUGGGUUCGAUUCCCACUUCGGGCA